rfam:Lupinus angustifolius cultivar Tanjil chromosome LG05, whole genome shotgun sequence.
AUAUCAUGUGAUGAGGAUAAAAUAACUGCAACAAUAUGAUUGGAAUUUUAUUCCAAUGAUUCUUAUAUACUUAACUCUCUGAUGAUC